GUCGGAGUGGCGGAAUGGCAGACGCGCUAGCUUGAGGGGCUAGUGCCCAGCAGGGCGUGAGGGUUCAAGUCCCUCCUCCGACACCA
rnacentral:tRNA from 1 species